rnacentral:rRNA from 1 species
GGGGAAUUUUCCGCAAUGGGCGAAAGCCUGACGGAGCAAUACCGCGUGAGGGAGGAAGGCUCUUGGGUUGUAAACCUCUUUUCUCAAGGAAGAUAGUGACGGUACUUGAGGAAUCAGCAUCGGCUAACUCCGUGCCAGCAGCCGCGGUAAUACGGAGGAUGCAAGCGUUAUCCGGAAUGAUUGGGCGUAAAGCGUUCGCAGGUGGCAUUGAAAGUCUGCUGUUAAAGAGUCUGGCUCAACCAGAUAUAGGCAGUGGAAACUACAAAGCUAGAGUGCGGUAGGGGCAGAGGGAAUUCCUGGUGUAGCGGUGAAAUGCGUAGAGUUCAGGAAGAACACCGGUGGCGAAAGCGCUCUGCUAGGCCGCAACUGACACUGAGGGACGAAAGCUAGGGGAGCGAAUGGGAUUAGAUACCCCAGUAGUC